rnacentral:rRNA from 1 species
CUUUCAGCUUAUUUUGCGCAGCUUAGGUGGGAGGCUACGAACCUUUUCUUCCGGGAAGAGGGGAGCCAUCAGUGAGAUACCACUCUUGGUAAGCUAGACAGCUCAGUCUUAACCGUUAUCCGGUAAGACGACAGUUUCAGGCGGGCAGUUUGACUGGGGCAGUCACCUCCCAAAAGGUAAUGGAGGUGCACAAAGGUUCCCUCAGGUUGGACGGAAAUCAACCAUAGAGUGUAAGAGCAUAAGGGAGCUUGACUGCGAGACUGACAUGUCAAGCAGAGACGAAAGUCGGUUUUAGUGAUCCGACGGUGCUGCGUGGAAAGGCCGUCGCUCAACGGAUAAAAGUUACUCUAGGGAUAACA